CCAAAAAAGACCAUCCCAGUUCGGAUUGCAGUCUGAAACUCGAGUGCAUGAAGCUGGAAUCGCUAGUAAUCGCAAAUCAGUAUGUUGCGGUGAAUACGUUCCCGGAUCUUGUACACACCGCCCGUCACACCAUGGGAGUUGGAAAUGCCCGAAGUCAGUGACCCAACCUAAGGGAGGGAGCUGCCGAAGGCAGGUUCGAUGACUGGGGUGAAGUCGUAACAAGGUAGC
rnacentral:rRNA from 1 species